GAAGAGAGAGGGAAUUGGAGUUUUUUCUUCACCAUCUACUUCCUCUUCUUCUUCCUUUGCUAGGGCACAACAACAACAUUGCAGCAUCCCAAAUUUCGUGAUCCUUCCACUUCUCUUUCAGAACCUCUCUCCUUUGUCGAUUCAAGCUCUCCCUCGCUGGUUUUUCUCUCCAAAAAUUGUUAGCAACAAUGGAGGAACGGAUGUUUUGGUUGGUUUCGUUACUCUUUUCUCUCUCUUUUUAGUUUUUUUGUGUGGAGAGGAGAAGACAACGCCCUUUUCUCUCUUUCUCUCUCUGUCUCUCUCUAAAAAACCCACUUACACAAUCCUCCAUCAAUCCUAUAUACAUAAACUUUUCGUUUUCUUUCUCUGUUUUUCCCCUUUUUGGUUUUGUGUUUUUUUUAAGGAAAUUGGAUGGUGGGUUUUUGAUUUGAUCCAAAUUGCUGCUCUCCAACUGCUCUAUUGUGUUGGAAAUGGGGAUUGGGUAGUGGGUUUUGAUGGGAUGAGUCCUUCGCAGGCGAUGGGACGGUGAUUUUAGGACCAUGUUCCUCUACGAUGGAGUACGAUUCUGGAAUACAUAUGUCUAUGACGGAGGGACACUCCUCUUCCCUUGCACCAUCCUUGUGCGAAGGUUCUCUUGCUAAUUUCGGAGAAAAUCAGGAACCAACUUGGAAGGUUGGAGACUGACCUUAUUACUUUAAAUGAAAAAUAAAGUGCUGCAAUCUCUCAAAUUGAGAAAUACUAUGAAGGCAAGACGAGAAACUGAUCGAAGACUGGAUACUCAAUAUCAACGUGAGAUUGCUGAAGGCCUUGAUAAGUCUUGACAACUGUUCAACAUCAUAAUGAACAAAUAUCAAAAAGAGAAGAAAGAAAAAUUAGAAGUGAUGCAGCUUUUGAGGAAGCCAAAAGAAAGGAAAAGACAAUUCUAUUGGAUAAAAAACGUCAAGAAAAGCUUAAAACAGAAGUUGAGGUACUUGACAAAAACGAAGUCUUCAACUUUGUAUUUUCACGUUGCUCUUAAGCCCCCAAAGGAUUUUUGCACUUUACUGCAUCUCACACAUCUAAAAACACAUGUGCAAGCAAAAGCCAAAGCUGAGGAAGCAAUGAAAGCUGUCUACCAAAGCUGAGAGGAGAGCAGCGAAAGAAGCUGCUGAAAACUUAUAAAAAGUUGAUAUUGUACAAGUGCAAGAAACUAUGGUUAGGUCGCUAACUACCAAACCAGUAAACUCAGUUGGCCAACCUGAAGGGACUGCUCCGGAUGAAACAUUUGUGUCAAAAUCACCAGGUGACUUUCAAUAUGAAUAAUUGGACAUCAGUUGUGAUUUUGAUCCUGCCAUUUGUGUAUUACCAUAGGUUUGAACCAGAUAUGCUAGCAUUCUCAGGUUUCUAUUAUGGUGGAGGUAAAAAGGAAAGGAGAGAAUUUGGAGCUAUUCGAAGGCGAUGGAAAACAUUACAUCAAGUAAGCAACCUUGAUAAAGAAAGGAGGCAUGGAAAAUGUCCACCGACUCCAGAAGAGGUCCUCUGAUGCCGCCACAUCACCAAAUUUGCUUUCUUUGGCUACUUUUAGCACUAAUUGUCGCCUACCACUGACACCCACUUUGUCAUCUUUUGGUCUUAGGCUCUUGAAAUCUUCAACUAGAUCAUCUAAGAUGCUCAGCUUCAUAUAGUUCUAAAUUAAGAAGAUCAUUAGUGCUUACCUUUUGUGGUCACACACGGCUUAUAAAUGCUACAAUUAUUAGACAAUCAGUGAGGUUUUGCAAGAAUCCAUUGAAGCAGUGAAACCAUAUUUGCUGCAAUUGAUUGAUUUAUAGGCCUUUUUGUAGGUUUGGUAGCCAAAUUUUGGUUCAAAUGUACUUAUUUAAAUAGCUUGUCCGUACCAAAACAUAUAUGUUAAUUGCUUCAUUGUACAAACAUUGUACGAACAAUUGUACGAACAAUUGUACAUAUAUUAAAGUAUAUAUAUUAAAUUGUUAAUCAUUUUUGUCCA